UCUCGCGGUCGCUUGUGUGACGUUUAUCCCUUAUCUUGUCUUUGACUUGAACACUUGAUAUUACCUUAGGACAAGUGAUACGGCGCAUUUUGAGGCUGGCAAGGAUCGGGCGUCGAAUGGAAAUCCGAAUACUGGCUGAUCUCUAGAGUGACGUACAAAACCCGUCGAUCAAUGACUGCAGCAAAUGUUGG